rnacentral:rRNA from 1 species
CCUGAUGCAGCGACGCCGCGUGAGGGAUGACGGCCUCAGGGUUGUAAACCUCUUUCAGUAGGGAAGAAGCGAAAGUGACGGUACCUGCAGAAGAAGCACCGGCUAACUACGUGCCAGCAGCCGCGGUAAUACGUAGGGUGCGAGCGUUAUCCGGAAUUAUUGGGCGUAAAGAGCUCGUAGGCGGUUUGUCGCGUCUGUCGUGAAAGUCCGGGGCUUAACCCCGGAUCUGCGGUGGGUACGGGCAGACUAGAGUGCAGUAGGGGAGACUGGAAUUCCUGGUGUAGCGGUGGAAUGCGCAGAUAUCAGGAGGAACACCGAUGGCGAAGGCAGGUCUCUGGGCUGUAACUGACGCUGAGGAGCGAAAGCAUGGGGAGCGAACAGGAUUAGAUACCCUGGUAGUCCAUGCCGUAAACGUUGGGCACUAGGUGUGGGGACCAUUCCACGGUUUCCGCGCCGCAGCUAACGCAUUAAGUGCCCCGCCUGGGGAGUACGGCCGCAAGGCUAAAACUCAAAGGAAUUGACGGGGGCCCGCACAAGCGGCGGAGCAUGCGGAUUAAUUCGAUGCAACGCGAAGAACCUUACCAAGGCUUGACAUGUUCUCGAUCGCCGUAGAGAUACGGUUUCCCCUUUG